AGUCAUGGCGGACUGUGCGAGGCGGGCAUGUGCCCGGCCGGUUUCUGUACCCGGUGGUUCCAACCUUGCACAGUCCGCCACCCUU
rfam:Pseudomonas pseudoalcaligenes KF707 = NBRC 110670 strain KF707 ctg1561, whole genome shotgun sequence.